rnacentral:rRNA from 1 species
UACGGGGGGAGCAAGCGUUGUUCGGAUUUACUGGGCGUAAAGGGCGCGUAGGCGGCCAGCGCAAGUCAGUUGUGAAAUCUCCGGGCUUAACCCGGAACGGUCAACUGAUACUGCGCGGCUAGAGUGCAGAAGGGGCAACUGGAAUUCUCGGUGUAGCGGUGAAAUGCGUAGAUAUCGAGAGGAACACCUGCGGCGAAGGCGGGUUGCUGGGCUGACACUGACGCUGAUGUGCGAAAGCUAGGGGAGCGAACGGG